rnacentral:rRNA from 1 species
CUAACGAGCUGAGGGCUUCUGUUUCUACCUCCCACCCAUGUUUAUUGUACCUUGUUGCUUCGGCGGGCCCGCCUCACGGCCGCCGGGGGGCUUCUGCCCUCUGGCCCGCGCCCGCCGAAGACACCAUUGAACACUGUCUGAAGAUUGCAGUCUGAGCAAUUAGCUAAAUAAGUUAAAACUUUCAACAACGGAUCUCUUGGUUCCGGCAUCGAUGAAGAACGCAGCGAAAUGCGAUACGUAAUGUGAAUUGCAGAAUUCAGUGAAUCAUCGAGUCUUUGAACGCACAUUGCGCCCCUUGGUAUUCCGGGGGGCAUGCCUGUCCGAGCGUCAUUGCUGCCCUCAAGCACGGCUUGUGUGUUGGGCCCCGUCCUCCUUCCCGGGGGACGGGCCCGAAAGGCAGCGGCGGCACCGCGUCCGGUCCUCGAGCGUAUGGGGCUUUGUCACCCGCUCUUGUAGGCCCGGCCGGCGCUUGCCGACAACCAUCAAUCUUUUUUCAGGUUGACCUCGGAUCAGGUAGGGAUACCCGCUGAACUUAAGCAUAUCAUAAGCCGAGGAA